AUCGAACGCUGGCGGCAGGCCUAACACAUGCAAGUCGAACGAGUGGCGGACGGGUGAGUAAUGUCUGGGAAACUGCCCGAUGGAGGGGGAUAACUACUGGAAACGGUAUCUAAUACCGCAUACCAUCGGAUGUGCCCAGAUGGGAUUAGCUAGUAGGUGGGGUAAUGGCUCACCCAGGCGUCGAUCCCUAGCUGGUCUGAGAGGAUGACCAGCCACACUGGAACUUAGACACGGUCCAGAUGCCUACGGGAGGCAGCAGUGGGGAAUAUUGCACAAUGGGCGCAAGCCGGAUGCGGCCAUGCCGCGUGUAUGAAGAAGGCCUUCGGGUUUUAAAGUACUUUCAGCGGGGAGGCGUUACCCGCAGAAGAAGCACCGGCUAACUCCGGGCCAGCAGCCGCGGUAAUAC
rnacentral:rRNA from 1 species